GACGUAGGUGGCGAGCGUUAUUCGGAUUUAUUGGGCGUAAAGGGUUCGUAGGGGGCUGUUUAAGUCGGGUGUGAAAGCCCAAGGCUCAACCUUGGAACGUCACCCGAGACUGAGCGGCUGGAGGAUCGUAGAGGAGUGUGGAAUUGCUGGUGUAGCGGUGGAAUGCGUGGAUAUCAGCAGGAACACCAACGGCGAAGGCAGCACUCUGGACGACACCUGACCCUGAGGAACGAAAGCUGGGGGAGCAAACAGG
rnacentral:rRNA from 1 species